rnacentral:rRNA from 1 species
AGGACGAACGCUGGCGGCGCGCUUCAAGCAUGCAAGUCGAACGAGAUACCCGGGCUUGCCCGGGUGGAGAGUGGCGAACGGGUGAGUAACACGUGAGGAACCUGCCCCGAAGACCGGGAUAACGCCGGGAAACUGGUGCUAAUACCGGAUGCCCUCGCCGGAUCGCAUGGUCUGGCGAAGAAAUGGAUUCCGCUUCGGGAUGGCCUCGCGGCCUAUCAGCUUGUUGGUGGGGUAACGGCCCACCAAGGCAGCGACGGGUAGCUGGUCUGAGAGGAUGUCCAGCCACACUGGGACUGAGACACGGCCCAGGCUCCUACGGGAGGCAGCAGCUAGGAAUCUUGCGCAAUGGACGAAAGUCUGACGCAGCGACGCCGCGUGCGGGAUGAAGGCCUUAGGGUCGUAAACCGCUUUCAGCAGGGACGAAAUUGACGGUACCUGCAGAAGAAGCCCCGGCCAACUACGUGCCAGCAGCCGC